rnacentral:misc_RNA from 1 species
UCCGGGUUUCCCCGGCAGUCCCGUCAGAGUGCCUUAUCCGAAGAUAAGUAGCAACUGACAGCAAGGGUUGCGCUCGUUAGAGGACUUAACCCAACAUCUCACGACACGAGCUGACGACAGCCAUGCAGCACCUGUGUAUUUGUUUGAACCGAAGCUCAAAAAACCGUAUUUCUACGGCGGUCAAAUACAUGUCAAGCCCAGGUAAGGUUCCUCGCGUAGUGUCGAAUUAAACCACAUGUUCCACCGCUUGUGCGGACCCCCGUCAAUUCCUUUGAGUUUUAGUCUUGCGACCGUAGUCCCCAGGCGGACCACUUAACGCGUUAGCUCCGACACCAAUCUGGCUAAGCCAGACUGACAUCAAGUGGUCAUCGUUUACGGCGUGGACUAC